GAAUAUUCGAAAACAUUGUUUGGGAUGGUGUGGAUCACAAAAAUGAGCCAGUAUUAAUGAGAAGGGUAUAGCUUUGUCCUGUUGUACAGUGCCUUGCUAGGUCUAUCGGGAUCGGCCGUGUAUGUCGAGACUAUCGAAGAAGACAAAUAUGAACGCAUCCUCGCUUCCUGAUGUUUGACCUCAAACCUGUCCACCGUCCACCAUCAAUCACAGAUCACAGCUCUGUCCCACUUUUCCCAGUUAGUCAGCAGUGUUCCUGGAGCGUGGUGCUGCGCGAGCGGGAAAACCACAUCCUGUUGGAGCAGGUCAGCCUGGAGCCUGACACCUGUGAGAGCCCGUGUUCCAUCACCACCACCACCGUCAUCAUCGCCUUCCGCCUUCCACUCCCACUCGCUGCGCUCCCACACAUCUACCGCCAGUUCACG
ensembl:lncRNA